ACCUACUCCAUCCAAGUCAGCAACUCUCUCAUGCUUAGGAACUUCAGACAAAUUGAAUUGAAUUGAAUUGAAAAAUAACACUACCAUUAUCAUUCAUUCAUUCCCCAUUCUUCAUUGAAAUGAUGUCAAUGGCUUCUUUCACUUCGACUUCCCAUCCUUGCAUUUCCGCAAUUUCCACCUGCAUCCCUUUCUCUUCAUCAUCUUCAUCUUCUUCAUGGAAAGUAUCAGCCUCACCACGCACCAGGCAUGGUGGGUGCUGCAGAGCCAUGGUUCAGAUUCAGACCGGUGCCCCCGCCGCGUAUGCAAAGGAAAUGGAGCGCCUUUCCGCCAAAGAAUCGCUUCUCCUCGCUUUUAAAGAUGCAGGGGGUUUUGAGGCUUUAGUCUCCGGGAAGACAACUGAAUAUCAAAAAAUUGAUGUGAAUGAAAGGAUAACUGGUCUUGAGCGGCUCAAUCCAACACCACGCCCCACUACGUCACCCUUUCUGGAAGGUCGAUGGAACUUUGAGUGGUUUGGUCCUGGAACGCCUGGGUUGUUUGCAGCUAGGCUUAUAUUUGAGAAUUUCCCUUCAAGUUUGGCUAAUUUGUCAAAACUGGAUGUCGUUAUUAAGGAUGGAAAUGCGAAGAUUACUGCAAACACGAGAUAUUUAAACUCGAUUGAAAGCAAAAUUAUUCUCUCAACCAAGUUAUCUGUGGAGGGGCCACUUAGAAUGAAAGAGGAGUAUGUUGAAGGGGUUCUUGUCUCACCAACUGUUAUUGAAGAAAGAGUACCAGAACAGAUUAAAGGUGCACUUGGGCAGGCACUUAAUGCUUUACAACAACUUCCUGUCCCUAUACGUGACGCUGUUGCUAGUGGGCUGAAAGUUCCUCUGAGUGGAAGCAUCCAAAGACUAUUCAUGAUUUCCUACCUCGACGAGGAGAUACUUGGUACGGCGUAUUCUUAACCUUUGGUCAUGCUGGGCUCCUAGGUUUCUAGCAAGUCAUAUCCUAUCACAUUAAAAGGAGCACAUACUAUAUCACCAAAAAAAUGCAGUAUGAUUGUUUGAUGCCUCUCCUAGGAGCUCCUGGCAUCUUUUGGCAAUCCUUGAUUGAUCCCUGUUGCGGUUACAUGCAAAAGGCACUCCGAUGCUUAAGUUAUUGAAGUAUUUUAGGGAGUGAAGUAGGGAGAGGCAGAUAAUAAGGGACACAGCUGGAAUGCCUGAAGUUUUAACGAGGCUGGAUGCAUCACCAUCUUCCAUAGGAGAAUCAGGCCCAGAUUAUGAAAGCUAGGAAUUCUAUAGAUUUUCCUUCUUUUUUAUGAUAAGUCAAAUUCCCCUUCCUCUCAAGCCCAUACACAGCUUCUAUUUAUUUCUCUCUGAAAUCCCUUUUUGGUUCUUCUAUAGGGGGUAGAAUGUGAAUAUAGAGAUGUCAACUUGAAGCUGACACCAAUUCUUACAAAACCAUGCAUGCUUAGCUUCAAAACAGUGGUUAUCUGAUGUAGAAAUCGAAUAAUGCUACUUAUACAACCAAUAAUGAAAUAUAGAGCAAAAAACCUGCAUGUGUGAUCCACAGAUAUUCUACAAA